rnacentral:lncRNA from 1 species
AUCGAUUCGUGUCUAAGACAAGUGAUAGAUUGGUGGUUAUUUAAUUAGGACUAUUGCUUAUACACGGAGAGCCCUCCAUCAAUCUUGAACUUACCGGCCAACUUAGUCGAUUAAAUUUUUUUUGGAUGCCUAGUGGUGAGUUCACUACACAUGUUGCAAUUAUAUCUUGAUUUGGAUCUUAGGGUGAACCAAGUCAAGAUCUCUCGA